rnacentral:lncRNA from 1 species
ACUAGGAUAUAAUCUUUCUUAACCUCUUUUGAGAUUUGAUGUCAGUUCAAGGGAAGCAUUCCAUUGAUGUCAGGAAGGCAGCUAUUUGUUGACUGAAAUUCUGGUACUCUGGCAUAAGCUCGUUCUAAAAAUCCACAAAUAUGUUGUUAAUAGAAUGGGACCAUACUUUUCACUUGGGGGCCUACCCGCUAGAGGUGAGAUGUCAUCCUUGAGAUGUUUGGAAGACUUUGUGAGAUUUUUUUUUCUUUUGCAAACUAGACGUGCGCCAGCUUCUCUGACCUAAAUGUA